AUGAAUUCUGUUUUGUGUAUCAUUGUAUGCCCUCCAUUGAUUAGAUUACCCAAAGCUCUUUCAACAUGUGAUGAUUCUUUCCACAAUAAAAAGAGCUUUUCCCCCUACGGUGUUUGCAAUGCGAGCAUAGAGUUGUGCUCAUCUUGUAUCCUAUUUAAUAAGCUUACCCAAUACUACUACACCUUACAUACAAUCACACCGAGCACACCAACGCCACAACACUACUAUGGCGAUGAAUUAGAUGAAGAUGAUGAAGUUCUUAGCCCAAACGAACGAUCCACCUUGCCAACCUCAACCUUGCUACAUGCCUGCUCUCGCACAUACUUGGAGUAA
rnacentral:rRNA from 1 species